AAGUUGAGGGAGCACACAGGGAGGAGGGUGCUCACUGAGAAUCUAAAGUUGAGGGAGCACACAGGGAGGAGGGUGCUCACUGAGAAGCCUAAAGUUGAGGGAGCACACAGGGAGGAGGGUGCUCACUGAGAAUCUAAAGUUGAGGGAGCACACAGGGAGGAGGGGUGCUCACUGAGCAGACACUGCAUAGUUUAUAGGGGAGGUAGCUGGGUAACAGUUUCACACCGGAAGCUCUUCAGCCAAGGUGAUGUCCCCUCUGAUUACGUAAAGGAUGAAAGCGAUAUGACGGAAAUGAAAUCACACGUUUCCCUGUCAGGAAACAAGGUCUACUUUGGAAUGUUUCCAUCAACCUUUCAAACAAUGUUUUGUUUCAGUAUCCUUCAGUUUUAUUUCUUGGGAUAUAAGAGUUGAUGAUCUUGCUUGUUAAUUCUGUUUCUGGGUGGGGACAGGUUGUAAAUUUGGAGGCUUCCCUGGCUGACUGCUGAGUCUGAAGGCUCUUCCAGACUGUAAUUCACACUAAGAGGAGACGGGAGUGUUUCGUGGUUUCUGUUUAACCGCACGUGCCGCGUGUGAGAGCAGGCUCAUCCUCAGAUGUGACAAUCAGAUGAUGCUGUCUCAGCUUUUCUCACCAGCUGGGACCUGUUCCAGUGUGCUGUUGCGGUUUGUUGUGCUGUCACUGUUCCUGCUGCUGUUACUAAGGACACUCUGGAUUGGAAGCCCGUGGCUGAGGGCCAUUGAAGGCAAUCUUCAAUAAUGCAGACGAAACCAGUUUACAUGUUAGCAAGGUGACACAUUUGAAGGGUGAGUGGUGGCUCCUUGAGCCCCUUUCAGUCCUGUGUGCAAACCAUUGCUUUUGGAUAAAAAGCUAAUGAGCACUUCAGCAAGAUCUUCGCUCCCUAUGAGUUGCAUCGGAAAUAGAUUUGAAAAACAUAUGCUAAGUGUUCUGUUGAAGUGCAUAAGAAUUUCAUCUUAUGGUCAUGAAAAAUGUACACACAGGGCUAUGUAUGUGACGAGAAACCUUUUUCCUUAUGCUUUACAAUAAAGGAAAUG